GACGAACGCUGGCGGCGUGCUUAACACAUGCAAGUCGAACGGAAAGGCCCUGCUUUUGUGGGGUGCUCGAGUGGCGAACGGGUGAGUAACACGUGAGUAACCUGCCCUUGACUUUGGGAUAACUUCAGGAAACUGGGGCUAAUACCGGAUAGGAGCUCCUGCUGCAUGGUGGGGGUUGGAAAGUUUCGGCGGUUGGGGAUGGACUCGCGGCUUAUCAGCUUGUUGGUGGGGUAGUGGCUUACCAAGGCUUUGACGGGUAGCCGGCCUGAGAGGGUGACCGGCGCCAUGGGGACUGAGGUACGGCCCAGACGCCUACGGGAGGCAGCAGUGGGGAAUAUUGCACAAUGGGCGGAAGCCUGAUGCAGCAACGCCGCGUGCGGGAUGACGGCCUUCGGGUUGUAAACCGCUUUCGCCUGUGACGAAGCGUGAGUGACGGUAAUGGGUAAAGAAGCACCGGCUAACUACGUG
rnacentral:rRNA from 1 species